AAGUCUUCGGAUGGAUAGAAGAACCCCUGAUGCCGUCGAGCCAAGAAAAGUUUCUAAGUUUAGCUAAUGUUGCCCGUACCGUAAACCGACACAGGUGGGUGGGAUGAGUAUUCUAAGGCGCGUGGAAGAACUCUCUUUAAGGAACUCUGCAAAAUAGCACCGUAUCUUCGGUAUAAGGUGUGGUUAGCUUUGUAUUAGGAUUUACUCCGAAAGCAAGGAAACUUACAACAAAGAGUCCCUCCCGACUGUUUACCAAAAACACAGCACUCUGCUAACUCGUAAGAGGAUGUAUAGGGUGUGACGCCUGCCCGGUGCUCGAAGGUUAAUUGAUGGGGUUAGCAUUAGCGAAGCUCUUGAUCGAAGCCCGAGUAAACGGCGGCCGUAACUAUAACGGUCCUAAGGUAGCGAAAUUCCUUGUCGGUUAAAUACCGACCUGCAUGAAUGGCGUAACGAGAUGGGAGCUGUCUCAAAGAGGGAUCCAGUGAAAUUGUAGUGGAGGUGAAAAUUCCUCCUACCCGCGGCAAGACGGAGAGACCCCGUGGACCUUUACUACAGCUUGACACUGCUACUUGGAUAAGAAUGUGCAGGAUAGGUGGGAGGCUUUGAGUAUAUGACGCCAGUUGUAUAUGAGCCAUUGUUGAGAUACCACUCUUUCUUAUUUGGGUAGCUAACCAGCUUGAGUUAUCCUCAAGUGGGACAAUGUCUGGUGGGUAGUUUGACUGGGGCGGUCGCCUCCCAAAUAAUAACGGAGGCUUACAAAGGUUGGCUCAGAACGGUUGGAAAUCGUUCGUAGAGUAUAAAGGUAUAAGCCAGCUUAACUGCAAGACAUACAAGUCAAGCAGAGACGAAAGUCGGUCUUAGUGAUCCGGUGGUUCUGUGUGGAAGGGCCAUCGCUCAAAGGAUAAAAGGUACCCCGGGGAUAACAGGCUGAUCUCCCCCAAGAGCUCACAUCGACGGGGAGGUUUGGCACCUCGAUGUCGGCUCAUCGCAUCCUGGGGCUGGAGCAGGUCCCAAGGGUAUGGCUGUUCGCCAUUUAAAGCGGUACGCGAGCUGGGUUCAGAACGUCGUGAGACAGUUCGGUCCCUAUCUGCCGUGGGCGUAAGAAGAUUGAAGAGAUUUGACCCUAGUACGAGAGGACCGGGUUGAACAAACCACUGGUGUAGCUGUUGUUCUGCCAAGAGCAUCGCAGCGUAGCUAAGUUUGGAAAGGAUAAACGCUGAAAGCAUCUAAGCGUGAAGCCAACUCUAAGAUGAAUCUUCUCUAAGCUCUCUAGAAGACUACUAGUUUGAUAGGCUGGGUGUGUAAUGGAUGAAAGUCCUUUAGCUGACCAGUACUAAUAGAGCGUUUGGCUUAUCUUUAAUAAAGCAU
rnacentral:rRNA from 1 species